rnacentral:lncRNA from 1 species
ACGACGCGUAUUGGUCGUCUUUUUCCGCAGCUCUCAUAAUUUCCGGUUGCGCAGCCAGAGGAAACCUCAGCACGCCGCCAGAGCCAGUGGAGGAGCUGCCACUAGGCCCCGCUUCGGCGUGACUAGUACUGGCGUCUCCGGUACCGGAAGUUGAUUCUCUCAGUCCCAUCCCCGCGCCCCAAAAAUUCUCUCUCUCGUUACUGAAGAGAUAGAACUUCUCUUCGAACUCGCAAAAUGUUGUGAAAUACCCGAUUUACCCUAUCCAAGAUUAGCAACUCUUGCCUUCCUUUCUCUUUUCUUUCGUAAACCGUCUCACACCACAUUUUUUUAGGUGGAAAUUGCAAGAAAUGUCGACUUUCGCACUAUCAUUUGUAAAAAUGUUCAAAAUUU